rnacentral:rRNA from 1 species
GUGCCAGCCGCCGCGGUAAUACGGAGGGGGCUAGCGUUGUUCGGAAUUACUGGGCGUAAAGCGCACGUAGGCGGACUGGAAAGUUGGGGGUGAAAUCCCGGGGCUCAACCCCGGAACUGCCUUCAAAACUAUCAGUCUGGAGUUCGAGAGAGGUGAGUGGAAUUCCGAGUGUAGAGGUGAAAUUCGUAGAUAUUCGGAGGAACACCAGUGGCGAAGGCGGCUCACUGGCUCGAUACUGACGCUGAGGUGCGAAAGCGUGGGGAGCAAACAGGAUUAGAAACCCGUGUAGUCC